rnacentral:rRNA from 1 species
UGCCAGCCGCCGCGGUAAUACGGAGGGUGCAAGCGUUAAUCGGAAUUACUGGGCGUAAAGCGCGCGUAGGCGGUUUGAUAAGUCGGAUGUGAAAGCCCUGGGCUCAACCUGGGAACUGCAUUCGGUACUGUCUGACUAGAGUAUGGUAGAGGGAAGUGGAAUUCCGGGUGUAGCGGUGAAAUGCGUAGAUAUCCGGAGGAACAUCAGUGGCGAAGGCGACUUCCUGGACCAAUACUGACGCUGAGGUGCGAUAGCGUGGGGAGCAAACAGGAUUAGAUA